rnacentral:rRNA from 1 species
AUGAACGCUAGCGGCAGGCUUAACACAUGCAAGUCGAGGGGUAUAGUAGCAAUACUAGAGACCGGCGCACGGGUGCGUAACGCGUAUGCAAUCUACCUUUUACAGGGGAAUAGCCCAGAGAAAUUUGGAUUAAUGCCCCAUAGUAUAUAGACUUCGCAUGGAGAUUAUAUUAAAGUCACAACGGUAAAAGAUGAGCAUGCGUCCCAUUAGUUAGUUGGUAAGGUAACGGCUUACCAAGACGAUGAUGGGUAGGGGUCCUGAGAGGGAGAUCCCCCACACUGGUACUGAGACACGGACCAGACUCCUACGGGAGGCAGCAGUGAGGAAUAUUGGUCAAUGGGCGCAAGCCUGAACCAGCCAUGCCGCGUGCAGGAUGAAGCAUCUAUGGUGUGUAAACUGCUUUUGUACGGGAAGAAACACCGAUUCGUGAAUCGGCUUGACGGUACCGUAAGAAUAAGGAUCGGCUAACUCCGU